GGCUCAGGACGAACGCUGGCGGCAUGCCUAAUACAUGCAAGUCGAGCGGAGUUCUGUUGAAAGCUUGCUUUCAACAGGAUUUAGCGGCGGACGGGUGAGUAACACGUAGGCAACCUGCCCCAUAGCCUGGGAUAACUACCGGAAACGGUAGCUAAUACCGGAUAAUUCCUUUCCCCUCCUGGGGAGAGGAUGAAAGACGGAGCAAUCUGUCGCUGAGGGAUGGGCCUGCGGCGCAUUAGCUAGUUGGUGGGGUAAUGGCUCACCAAGGCGACGAUGCGUAGCCGACCUGAGAGGGUGAACGGCCACACUGGGACUGAGACACGGCCCAGACUCCUACGGGAGGCAGCAGUAGGGAAUCUUCCGCAAUGGGCGCAAGCCUGACGGAGCAAUGCCGCGUGAGUGAUGAAGGUUUUCGGAUCGUAAAGCUCUGUUGCCAGGGAAGAACGUCUUAUAGAGUAACUGCUAUAAGAGUGACGGUACCUGAGAAGAAAGCCCCGGCU
rnacentral:rRNA from 1 species